GGAUGUGAGGGCGAUCUGGCUUCGACGUCUGUCACCCAUUGAUGGCCAGAGUUGAUUCGGCUGAUCUGGCUGGCUAGGCGGGUGUUCCCUUCCUCCUUCACCGCUCCAUGUGCGUCCUUCCGGAAGCUGUGUGCUACAAAGAGGGCCUGCCCUGCCAUUACCGCUACGAGCCUCUCUUCUGUGCAUGGUG
rnacentral:snRNA from 1 species